rnacentral:rRNA from 1 species
UUAGAUACCCUGGUAGUCCACGCCGUAAACGGUGGGCACUAGUUGUGGGAACUUUCCACGGUUUCUGCGACGCAGCUAACGCAUUAAGUGCCCCGCCUGGGGAGUACGAUCGCAAGAUUAAAACUCAAAGGAAUUGACGGGGCCCCGCACAAGCAGCGGAGCAUGCGGCUUAAUUCGACGCAACGCGAAGAACCUUACCAAGGCUUGACAUAUACAGGAAUAUGGCAGAGAUGUCAUAGCCGCAAGGUCUGUAUACAGGUGGUGCAUGGUUGUCGUCAGCUCGUGUCGUGAGAUGUUGGGUUAAGUCCCGCAACGAGCGCAACCCUCGUUCUGUGUUGCCAGCAUUUAGUUGGGGACUCACAGGAGACUGCCGGGGUUAACUCGGAGGAAGGUGGGGAUGACGUCAAAUCAUCAUGCCCCUUAUGUCUUGGGCUGCACGCAUGCUACAAUGGCUGGUACAAACGGCUGCGAUACCGCAAGGUGGAGCGAAUCCGAUAAAGCCAGUCUCAGUUCGGAUUGGGGUCUGCAACUCGACCCCAUGAAGUCGGAGUUGCUAGUAAUCGUAGAUCAGCAACGCUACGGUGAAUACGUUCCCGGGGCUUGUACACACCGCCCGUCACGUCACGAAAGUCGGUAACACCCGAA